rnacentral:lncRNA from 1 species
UUCUGCACUCUGUGCUCUUUCUCCUCUCUCUCAGUUCUGCACUCUGUGCUCUUUCACUCCUCUCUCAGUUCUGCACUCUGUGCUCUUUCACUCCUCUCUCAGUUCUGCACUCUGUGCUAUUUUCCCUUCUCUCACUGUUUGGCUCUCUUUGCUCCUGACCUUUCUCUUCCAGUUCUGAACUCUGUGCUCUGUGCCUCUUUUUCCUAGAUCUGUACUCUGUGCCCUUUGCCUUUCAGUCUUAAUUCUGCACUCUGUUGUUUCUCUGUUUGUUUUCUGCUCUGUGCU